rnacentral:RNase_P_RNA from 1 species
CAAGUAUGUCGAGCGAUCGCGCCCAUACGCCCAAAGGCUUUUGGGUGAGGAAAGUCCGGGCUCCGCAGGGCAGGAUAACGGGUAACGCCCGCCGAGGGUGACCUUAGGACAAGUGCAACAGAGAGAUACCGCGUACGCGCAAUCAGCGUGCGUAAGGGUGGAAAGGUGAGGUAAGAGCUCACCGGCCUUCCGGGAACGGCAAGGUCAUGUAAACUCUAUUCGGAGCAACACCGUGAAGGGGACUCCCGCAACAAGGGACGCGCUUGCCCGGCGCGCGUGCCCCGAGAGGUGGCUUGAGACGUCCGGCAACGGACGUUCGAGAUAGAUGAUCGUUUAAGACAGAACCCGGCUUACAGACAUACUUGCACU